rnacentral:rRNA from 1 species
UACGAAGGGUGCAAGCGUUACUCGGAAUUACUGGGCGUAAAGCGUGCGCAGGCGGUUCGUUGUGUCGGUGGUGAAAUCCCCGGGCUUAACCUGGGAAUGGCCAUGGAAACUGGCGAACUGGAGUGCGGCAGAGGGGGGUGGAAUUCCGCGUGUAGCAGUGAAAUGCGUAGAGAUGCGGAGGAACACCGAUGGCGAAGGCGACAUCCUGGACCGGUAUUGACGCUGAGGCGCGAAAGCCAGGGGAGCAAACGGG